UUAAACAAACAAGAGCAUAAGGUGAAUGCCUUGGCACUAGGAGCCGAAGAAGGACGCGACAAGCUGCGAAAAGCUGCGGGCAGGAGCAAAUAUCCGUCAAUCCGCAGAUAUCCGAAUGGGGCAACCCACCUACCGUAAUGGGUAGGUACCCUCUGGUGAAUAUAUAGUCAGAGCGGAGGCAACCCGGGGAAGUGAAACAUCUGAGUACCCGGAGGAAAAGAAAGAAACAUCGAUUCCCUCAGUAGCGGCGAGCGAACGGGGAUUAGCCCAAACCGAAUUUAUUCGGGGUUGUGGGCCACUCAACAUGGAUCGUGGAGUAUAGCAGAAGACGGCCGGAAAGCCGCGGCGCAGAGGGUAAAACCCCCGUAAGCGAAAUACGAAACGGACAGAGUGGUACCGGAGUACUGCCGGACACGUGAAACCCGGCAGGAAGCAGGGGGGCCCACCCCCCAAGGCUGAAUACUACCUAGUGACCGAUAGAGAACAGUACCGUGAGGGAAAGGUGAAAAGAACCCCGGGAGGGGAGUGAAAGAGAACCUGAAACCUUAUGCUUACAAGCAGCGGGAGCGCAAGUGACCGCGUACUUUUUGUAGAACGGGCCAACGAGUUACGGUAUGCAGCAAGGUUAAGAUAUUCAGUAUCGGAGCCGAAGCGAAAGCGAGUCUUAAAAGGGCGGAUAAGUUGCAUGCUGUAGACCUGAAACCGGGUGACCUAUCCAUGAGCAGGUUGAAGUAUCCGUAAAAGGAUAUGGAGGACCGAACCCAUGUCUGUUAAAAAAGGCCGGGAUGACUUGUGGAUAGCGGUGAAAUUCCAAUCGAACCCGGAUAUAGCCGGUUCUCCUCGAAAUAGCUUUAGGGCUAGCCUGUAUGAAGAUAGACGGAGGUAGAGCACUGAAUGUUCUAGGGGCCUUCACCGGUUACCGAAAACUAUCAAACUUCGAAUGCCGUUAUAUUGAUCAUAUGGAGUCAGACUGUGUGAGAUAAGUUUCACAGUCGAAAGGGAAACAGCCCGGACCAACAGCUAAGGUCCCCAAAUGUAAGUUAAGUGGAAAAGGAUGUGCAGUUGCAGAGACAACCAGGAUGUUGGCUCAGAAGCAGCCACUCAUUUAAAGAGUGCGUAACAGCUCACUGGUCGAGUGACUGUGCGCCGAAGAUAAACGGGGCUGAAACUUACUACCGAAGCUUUGGAUACGGAAACGUAUGGUAGAGGAGCAUUCUGUAAGGGCAGAAGCAUACCUGUGAGGGUAUGUGGACAUUACAGAAGAGAGAAUGUUGGCAUAAGUAGCGAGAGGCAGGUGAGAAUCCUGCCCGCCGAAAAUCUGAGGAUUCCUGAGGAAGGUUCGUCCGCUCAGGGUAAGUCGGGACCUAAGUCGAGGGCGAAGGCCGUAGGCGAUGGACAGCCGGUUGAGAUUCCGGCACUACCGAGAAUUGUUUGAUUGAAGUGGGGACACAGAAGGAUAAUCCGGGCGCACCGUUGGUUGAGUGCGUUCAAGCGAAGAGGCUGUCAUGCAGGCAAAUCCGCAUGGCAAUAAGGCUGAUUCGUGAUGAGGAGCGAAAAUACAGUAGCGAAGCGGAUGAUUUCACGCUGUCAAGAAAAGCCACUAAAGAGAUUCAAGGUACCCGUACCGCAAACCGACACAGGUAGAUGAGGAGAGAAUCCUAAGGCGCGCGAGAGAACUAUUGUUAAGGAACUCGGCAAAAUGACCCCGUAACUUAGGGAGAAGGGGCGCCUGCGCAAGCAGGCCGCAGUGAAAAGGCCCAGGCGACUGUUUAGCAAAAACACAGGUCUCUGCUAAAUCGAAAGAUGAUGUAUAGGGGCUGACGCCUGCCCGGUGCCGGAAGGUUAAGGGGAACGCUCAGCCGUGACCUUGUCCGUGAGAGGAGAGAAGAAGAACGAUUGUUCGGAAUCAAUCAGAGGAUGGAUGAGGUCAUGGCGAAGGCGUGAACUUAAGCCCCGGUAAACGGCGGCCGUAACUAUAACGGUCCUAAGGUAGCGAAAUUCCUUGUCGGGUAAGUUCCGACCCGCACGAAAGGCGUAACGAUCUGGGCACUGUCGGUGAAAUUGUAGUACCGGUAAAGAUGCCGGUUACCCGCAGCAGGACGGAAAGACCCCGUGGAGCUUUACUGCAGCUUGAUAUUGAAUUUCGGCGUUGCAUGCACAGGAUAGGUGGGAGGCGAAGAAGUCGGGACUCCGGUUUCGGCAGAGCCGCCGUUGGGAUACCACUCUUGUAACGUUGAAGUUCUAACUUGGUACCGUUAACCGGUAUGAGGACAGUGUCAGGCGGGCAGUUUGACUGGGGCGGUCGCCUCCUAAAGAGUAACGGAGGCGCCCAAAGGUUCCCUCAGCGCGGUCGGAAAUCGCGCGCAGAGUGUAAAGGCAGAAGGGAGCUUGAUUGCGAGACAAACAAGUCGGGCAAGGACGAAAGUCGGGCUUAGUGAUCCGGUGGUUCCGAGUGGAAGGGCCAUCGCUCAACGGAUAAAAGCUACCCCGGGGAUAACAGGCUUAUACCCCCCAAGAGUCCACAUCGACGGGGGUGUUUGGCACCUCGAUGUCGGCUCGUCUUCGGUCCCAAGGGUUGGGCUGUUCGCCCAUUAAAGAGGUACGCGAGCUGGGUUCAGAACGUCGUGAGACAGUUCGGUCCCUAUCCGCUGUGGGCGUUGGAGAUUUGAGUGGAGCUGUCCUUAGUACGAGAGGACCGGGAUGGACGUACCGCCGGUGCAUCAGUUGUCAUGCCAAUGGCACAGCUGAGUAGCCGCGUACGGACGGGAUAAGUGCUGAAAGCAUCUAAGUACGAAGCCCCCCGCAAGAAGAGAUCUCCUCCGCAAGGUAAGACCCGUGACAGACGAUCACGUUGAUAGGCCUGAGGUGUAAGUGCAGUAAUGCAUGCAGCUGACAGGUACUAAUCGGUCGAUAGUUUAACCU
rnacentral:rRNA from 1 species